rnacentral:lncRNA from 1 species
GAAUUUCUAGGAAUGAAAAUGAAGCCCGUACACAAUCUCUCUCUCUCUGGAUUUCUAGGAAUGAAAAUGAAGCCCUGACACAAUGUCUCUCUCUCUCUCUUUGAAACAAUAACUGAAACUUCUCCAAAAGUUUAUUAAAUUUAUUUCUAAAUUCUAUGACAUCGGUUUCAUGGAACAAAGUCAUAAACCAUAUGAUACCAAGAAAGACACCGGGCUAUUCAUUUUGACUACUAAAAUGUGGAGUACAGUGGAGAUUACCAAUAAUAAUCGCUACAUUCUGCAAUCUGUAGUACAAAGACACAAAUAAUCCCUUCUCUCUCUGCAAAAUGCAGACGUAUUCAUUGUUACCUUUCUUUCCGAUAAAAAACGAAGAAACAGGCCUUUCUCUCUCUCUCUCUAUAAGCAGAGCCUUAGGUUGAGAGAACUCGUUUUCUCCUCCUCCAAUCUUUUUUCUCUCUUCUCCCCUCCAUUCGUCACAGACCGCACUUUUCUCUCACAGGACUUAAGCGGUUUUGGAGAACCACUCACCUGUUUCGCGAAAGCAGAAUUAUUAGCCUCGAAAUCCUCCCAUUCGAAGGAAGGAAUCCAAGGUGGUAAUUUUUCAGGCGUCUUCCUUUUAGUUUCGUGUUCUGAAAAUUUAUGCAUUCUUCUGAUUAUUGCAAAGAACUCCUCCACCUCUUCUUCCAAGAUUGCAGAGCUAACUUCACCGCGAAAUUGAUUUUCCCCAAAAAAUUCCGGCGAGUUUCUUGGCCGCUUCCUUUUUUCCGGUUCCAUCACAACCACCCCACAAACACAGAACAGUUUGGGAAUACCUACUCUGGUGAAAUAUUCGCCGUGCAAUGUCUUUUAUGCACAAGUGAAGCUAUGUGGUAUUUAAUAUAGAGGAGCGAGAUAUUUUGUGCCUUGUCCUUUUUAAAAAAUAUUAGUAUGCUCCCGUACUGUAAGUUAUAAUUUCUUGAAGAAAAAUUGUUUCACGCGGGCAGGAGUCAUGUCUACGCAUUUAAAAUCAAUGGAAACUAAUGGUCCAAAUAUUUUUUUAUUAAAAUUAUUAUUUUUAAUUUUUAAAAUUUAUUUAUUUAUUUAUAUUCAUGAUCUCCAUGUUAGGGAUUACAUGCUUUUAAAAGUUAAGUCUUAAAAUCCACCUCAAAAAUAGAUUUAUUAAGAGACUGGCAUUUCUACAUACAUGGGCUUUGCUGUAUAGAAACCGUGCCCUUUUUUGAGAGGACACGGUUUCUAUCAGACUAUAAAGAAAUGAGUCGACUCUUAAAAAUUUAUUUUUAAGAUGCACUUUUGGACCCAAAUUUUAAAGACACGUUGGAGAUCAUAAGUAUAAAAAAUAAAUAAAUUUUAAGAAAUAAAAAUAAUGAUUAUAUGAAAAAAUAUUUAGACCGUUAGUUUCAAAGGAUUGUUUUUAGAAGGACCACCUAUUUGCAUCCAUCUUUAAGAUGGAUGCUUUAAACCUUGGGACCACAUAUUGUGGAAAUACAGUCCAUCCCGCAUGAAACAAUUCUCAUUCUUGAAAAACUUUUCAAAAGAGAUUUAGAUAAUUUCUUUUUACUACUUUUUGUCUACUCUGUUUUUUUUUUUUUCACAAGAAUUAUUAACACUCUUACAACCACCUAUUUUGAAAUCUAAGAGACAAAAAUGCUUGGCACUUUUUUGUACAAAAGGAAAAUAAUCUAUAUUAGAGAAUCCCUUAGACAGGAUUACCUUCUUGGUUAUUUUUUUUAUUUUUUUUUGUGGAAAUGGUCAUUAGGUACAAGGCAAUUAAAAUCGUAACUUAAUGUCUUUGUUUAAUGUGAAUGCAGUCAAUGGGCCUCCGCCUAAAAUUAUACACAGACAUGCGAGUCUACUUUUUUUUUUUUUUUUCACUCACUCCAUCGGUUUAUUCAAAUCCAAGUAUUGUAGAUGUUUUUUCUCAACUAUUUUUUCGGAAUCAUACACACAAGGGAGAACAUUUUUAAUCAAAUAAAAAUUUUGUACAUGUUUUUUUCUCUCAACAAUUUUUCCCGAAUAAUAUUACAAGGAUAAGGUAUUGUCAGCAACUCAGCUAUUUAAAUGAGUUGUCUCAGCAAAAUAUAGAUGAAUUUUGGAUUUAAAAUUUUAGAGGAUAAAAAUCUCAACCGUGAUAAGUAGGAAUUUGAAGAAAGAAUCAAUUUUAUAAAUAAAAAAUAAAUCUUUUUUGAUGUAGUUUUAAGACCAUUGCUUUUAAAGUUAUGCUAGGUUAACAUUAUGUCACAUCUAUAUCGAAGAUGGAUGUUACAUGUAUCACGGGAUGCUAUAGCAGAAGUACAUCCCUUGAUCCGUAAACCACUUUUUCAUACAUUGUGUGGUGUAAAGCACAGAAAAAUAUAUAUAUAUAUAUUUUAAAAAAAAGAGCACAAUGCUAUAGCAGAAGUACAUCCCUUAAUCCGUAAACCACUUUUUCAUACAUUGUGUGGUGUAAAGCACAGAAAAAUAUGUAUAUAUAUUUUUUUUAAAAAAGAGCACAAUGCUUUUUUAAAAAGAGAACUUGAGCUUAAUUAAUUAAUUACGGUAAUUUGCAACACUAUAUCCUAGGCUAAAUUCAAGGUAGGGGCCCAAUCCCCACUAAUUUUUUGUGCGUUUUAAAGAGCAUCUCAAUCGUUGAAUAAUGGACGGUGAACAUUGCACCCCCUUAAAAGCGUGCACUGACAUUGCGAUCGUAAAUGGUAACACUACUCUCAGUAGCAGGUGCAUCUGCCAUGGCAUUUGAGAACGGUCCAAAUUUGGGGAAAGGUUCUUUAUGCAUCUCCCGAUGCAUAAAUUAAGUGGUGUCCCUCUCUAAAGUAUAAAAAUUAAUGUUUUAUAAAUAUUUUAUAAGAUUUUAUUUUUAUUUUUAUAUAACGAUGAUCUAAGAUCAUAUAUAAAAAUAAAUAAAAAAUUAUUUUAUAUGGACCGGACCGCAUUUCUACAAUAUGCAGUCCCAAUGUAUAAAACAUCCACUUUGAAGAUGGAGGCAAAUAGGCAGUCUUUCUAAAAACAAUUGAAACUAACAGUCUAGAUGUUUUUUUUAAUAGAAUUAUUAUUUUUAUUUUUAAAAAUUUAUUUAGUUUUUCAUAUUCAUGAUCUCCAUGCUAGAGAUUACAUGUCUUUAAAAAUUAAGUCCAAAAUCCAUCUAAAAAANNNNNNNNNNNNNNNNNNNNAAAAAAUACUCUUUUAAGAGGUGACUCAUUUCUACAUGGACUCAUAGAAACCAUGUUUUUGAAUAAAACGUAGCUUGUACUAAAUGCAAACGAGAACCUAUUAUUAUAGUUAUGCAACUAUUAAUAUUAAUAAUAUUAUUAAUAAAUAUGAUUAUAAAUUUAAAAUCAAUUUGAAUAAUUUCAAAUUUAACAAAAACAGAUUUACGGGAUAAGGUUGGAUAGGGUGAAGUACAUAUUGACAUUUUGAUUUUUAAGAACGGUUCGACAUGUCCUUAAAAAUUAAGUAAAAAAGUCCAUCUCAAAAAUAAAUUUUUAGGAGGUGACUCAUAUCUACAUGGACUCAAAAAAAUUGUGUCCAACAAGUGAGGUUAAAAAUCCAUCUCAAAAAUAGAAUUUAAUGAGGGAACACAUAUAUACAUAUGAGGCUUACUCCUAGAAACUGUGUUUCCAAAUUUAUUAAAGAUACGUAUAAAAUUCGUGCUUGAGAUGGAGGCUUCAAAGGGCAUUUUUAACAUGGACACGGUUUUUAUGAGUCCACGGACACACAUGUAGAAAUGCGGACUUUUUAAUAAUUUAUUUUUGAAAUAGAAUUUGAUCCUAAUUUUUAAAGAAUAUAUAUCUCUAAUAUAGAGAUUAUAAGUAUAUAAAAAGAAAAAUUAAAAGCUAGAAAUGAUAUUUUUGGAAAAAAAAUAUUUGAACAGUUGAUUUUACUUCUGCUUUAGAAGACUAUUAUUUACACGACCUGGUUUUGAUGGAAGGUAUAAAUAUCCACCCCACAUAAUAACAGUUGGCCGCAUUGAACAAUGUUCCUUUUGCCAUAGGAUUAGGUUAGUGUGGUGGGAACAUUAUGGUAUUUUAGAAAGGAAAAUUACAAAAAAAUCCCAAGACCACAUUGUCUAUGCAACUUAUCCCCAACAUAAUUUUUUUUCCCACUUUUUUUUUCGAAACAUACUUUUUAUAUAAAUACUCCAAAAGAAAAAGGUUUAUAUUUUAGGCGGAAAUACCAUUUUUAUAUAUAUUAAAAAAUCAUUUUGGAUAAAUUUGACAUUGACUUUUGGACCGUAUAGCACAUUGUUGGAGUACAUAAGUACCGGACCGCCUUUUGCAACUGCCGGAUUGCUCUUUACAACUACCGGACCGUCAAUUUCAAUUGCUGGACCGCAUUUUAUACAGUCGCCCUACUGCCAGACUGCAGUUUACACAAUGUCGAAACUUUACUGCCGGAGCCGUUAUUUUGGUGGGAUAGAGGAGAAAGAGGUAUGGGUAAAAUAAAAGUAAUGGAGGGUUGUUUAGGUUUUUUUUUGUUGAGGGGUUUUUGCAUAAAAAAUAUAUUUUGAAAAUAAAAUGAGAAAAAAAAAAAAAUUUGUAGUAAGUUAUAAUUUUGGAGUUUUUUAUUUUUAUUUUUUAUUUGUAAUUUUCCCAUUUUGAAAAGAUGUUGGGGGCUAUAAGCAAAGAAACGGAAAGUGUCUUUGGGCGUCAGCGUGAUCAUUAAUCCUCUGGCUUUAUGACGCAGUCAAAAUGACGCCAUCCUUGUCAGACGGCACAUACGUACAUAUCUAAGAAGAAAAACUAGGUAAAAGAAGGAAAAAUGGGAAACCGAUAUUUAAGAAGCGAAACAAGAGCCACAAUAUGAUGGAACGCAUGAGGACCGAUAUUUAAGAAGCGAAACAAGAGCCACAAUAUGAUGGAACGCAUGAGGCCCCAACUUCCUUUAAAAAUAAAGUCAUUUUCCUCCAUAUAAUAAUAUCUUGCUGUACAUGUGAUUCACAAAAUUCUAACCUAGAAAGUUUUUGUAUCAAAGUAGAGUAUUAGAAUCAUUCAUGGAAAUUUCGUCCGUUGUAACCAGUAACCGCCUUGUUAGAUCAGAACUCGCCGGUUCUAGUUUCAGUUGGUUUUGGUGACCGAUCAGGUAUUUUUUAAUUUUUUUAAAUAUUAUAUAAAAUUUCAUAAAAUAAGAGAUUUUGUUUGUAAUCUAUUUUUUAAUGUUUUCAUCAUUACAACAAAAAUUAGAAAUUGUUUUGGCCAUUAAUAUUUAAGGUGCGUUUUGUUUUGGCCAUUAAUAUUUAGGGUGCGAUUUCUAUAGAGUCGAGGCUCUAAACAAUCAAAGUAAAGCACACCUACAAACAGUGUCAAGAAAUAUGGUUUCAAUACUGGAAAUCUCUAUAAUAACCUUAAAAUAUAUUUUCAUCUUUAACUAUAAAAUUUAAAGCUUAAAAAUGAUGUAGAUCGAGCUGAUCUAUGAAAACUUGAAAUUCUUGAAAAUUUACGGUCAAAAAAAUGCAUUAUAAGAUGCAUUAUUUUCAAAACUUGACAUGUCCAUCUAUCCUAAUGUCGAGAUGAUUAACUUGAGAAUAUUUGGGCAUCAAAACAAUCUCUUCUAGUUAAAUUUUUGAGGUGGGCUCUAAUUUGAUUGUUUAGAGCCUCAGUUUUUAUAUAAACUUUUUCUUAAUAUUUAUUUUUACAUUUUCCCAUCUCUUUUUUAAAAAAAAUUCAAAAAUACCCCUAGGUACAAAUUUAUUAUUUAAAAUUCAUUUUCCAUUAAUUUUCAACUCAUUUGGAUAUGAUUUGUUUAAUUAUUUUUUAAAUAUACUUUUUUUUAUUUGAUUUUAUUUGUAUUUUUUAACACUUUUUUACUGCCCUAGACGUGCCAGAUUAGAACAGUUGAACCGCCUGAUUUACCCUUUAGACCAGUUGAACCGCUUCUAGACCCAUGUCCGGUUAACCUUUCAGAUUCGAUUUUUCUUACGCCGCUUAAAAUUGAGUAUAAUAUGGCUCACUUCUUAUCAAAACUUUAGAGGCUGGAUUUUUAUAGCACAACAUCUCACGUUCCAUUCUUGCGUAACUUUUUUUUUUACUUUUUUAAAAAAAGUCAUUUUGAUAUGUGUGAUUAUAGGGAAGAACUUUUGUUCGGCGUGACACCUAAAGACAAUAAGAGAUAUCAAAAGAUUUUAUUGUACAUGUAUUCGGCGGGGUUACAUCUAAAGACAAUAAGAGAUACCAAAAGAUUUUAUUGUACAUGUAUUCGGCGUGACAUCUAAAGACAAUAAAAGAUAUGAAAAGAUUUUAUUGUACGUAUAUCGUACUGUAACUUCGAAUUCUAACUAAUAAAAAGGCACUAUUAACGGUUAAAAAAGAAGAUAUCAAAAUAUUUCUAGGCUCACUAAGGCACUUUCCUUUAAACUUUAAACGAUGGAAAAUGGUUUGGUAGUGAUGCAACCCUGUCGAAUUGCGUUACCUAAUGACUCAUCGAAAAUUUUAAUUUAUUGAAAAACUUUUACAUCAAUCAUAUUGAUUUGAAAAUUAUGGUUGUGAACAAAAUCAAGAUUUAAAAUUUUAAAAAUUAGUAUAUAUUUUAACAAAUUAUCUAUUAGGUCUAUUUCGCCAUAAAAAUAAGUAUUAAAAAACCCAAUAACUUGUACCUUUUUUUGAGUUUUUAAUUUUAUUGUUAGUAUUGAAAAUUAAUUUUAGAUCCAUCAUGAAAAUUUUUGUGGCCGAAAGUGCCUUCCAGACAAAAAUUUAAAGUGAGACUUUAUUUGAUUGUCAUAGAACAUAGGUCUUAUAGAAACUUCAUCCCUAAAUGAUAUCGUAUGGUUCAUGGUUGUGCACUUAUUGCUCAUCUCAAUAAUCCUCGUGUAUCUUCAGGUACCUUUUAAUUUCAAUCCCAUUACAAUGUUCCCGGGCACUUGAUAUUGGGGCUAUUUAAGCUAUUGCUAACAUAUUGACCCAUGUCAACAUGUUUAGUGACCGAAAAUGAUUAACAUAUGUUCUUUGUUAUGCACACUCAUCCGCACCCUUAUUAGACCACAACAUCACAUCCAAUGGUCAUUUAAAAAAAAAAAAAACAAUUUGUUGAGCUCUUGAAUACCUUGAUGAUCGUCCAAUGGGAGUGUCUAUGUUCAUCCUUAUGUAGGUGACUUCUUUAGAGCACUAGUCAACUAUGUUUCUUUUAAUGAAAAUAUUUUUGCGCCUUUUAUUUUUAGAUUUCAUAUGCCAAUAGAUCGAAAAUUUCAAAACAUAAGACAUAAAAAUAUCAACUUUUAUAUCUUCUAACCCUUUAGCUUAACUUUACCCAAAUUUUUUUUUUUUUAACUCAAAUACUUUGUUGAAAGACAACUCUAUUUAAACCCUAUUAUUUCUCUACGUCCACAAGAUAUUCUCUCUCCCGUGACUCUCUCUAAUUUCUAUCUCUUUCUCUCUCCCUUAUGACACUCUAAUUUUACUCUCUCUCUCCAUAAUGACUCUAUAUAAUUUCGUGCUCUCUCUCUCCACCAUGACUUUUCUUAAUUUCGCACUCUCUCUCUCCACCAUGACUUUCCUUAAUUUCGCACUCUCUCUCUUUCUCACCAUGAAACUUUCUCUCUCACCAUGAAUCUUUCCAAUUGCACCGGGCUCUCCCUACUUAUUAACCAGAGCAAAAGUAUUUAACAAUGCCGCAACAAAAAGAGUACAGCAUAAUCAAAAGUAAAGCACCCGUAAGGAUCAGAUAGAAAGGAAAGGAGAACUAGAAGUGGAUAGAAAAAACGGCAUUUUACUUGAGUGGGCCAAACACCUAACCCGAAAAACAAAAAAGUGAAGCACUUAACCGGAAAAAAAAAUCUUGAACUCCACAACCCUAAAAAAUGACAUUCAUAGAAAGUUCCAACCUUUGCAAUAGUGCUUUGAACAUAUGCAAAAUAGCGGGAUAGAGAGAGAACAUGUGGCUUGGGGUGCGAACCUCUACAAAUACAGCUUUAUGUGGUUUGGAACCACUGCAAAUAAAGCUUUAUUUAAUUUGGGACCUCUGCAAAUGGAGGUGCCUAUGAUUUGGGGAGCGAAGAUCUACGCUCAAAUAAAGUCCUUGAGGAUUGGGGGGAGAGAGGUUGGGUAAACAAAGGGAGAGAGAGGUUGGGAAACUCAGAGAGAGGGGUUGGGAGAGAAAGAAGUAGGGAAACACAAAAAAGGGAUAGGGGAAACACGGCGAGAGAGAGGGAGGGGUAAGAGAGAUAAAGAGGGGAGAGAGAGUGGGGGUGAUAAGGGGAGAGAGUGGGGGUGUCGUAUUUUGGUGGGAUGGAGAAGAGAGGCGUGGGUAAGGUAAUAGUAAGGGAGGGUAGUUUAAAUAUUUUUUUAAUUUUUUUGGUUUGGGGAUUGCAUAGAAAGUAUAUUUUAGAGAAAAAAAGUGAGAAAAAAAAAUUAGGUUGGGGUAAGUUACUUAAAAAGUGUAGUUUUGAAGGUUUUUUUUUUGAUAAUUUUUUUGAUAUAUAUAUUUUUUUAAGUAAGUAAUAUGGUGAGUGGAUGACGCCCCAUCUUUUCCGGUUCUAAAAAGACUCCUAACCAGUGGUUGCACAUUCUGUGAACCUAACUAGAAAUUGGUAGAUAAGGGGUCGUUUAGUAUGCGUGAAAAUUUGAGAAUAAAAUAUUUAUUUUACAUAUGCAAAUAUUUUGCAGGAAAAAGCUACUCAAACUUGCUUUUUCCAUGUUUGAUGAACGUAAUUGGAAGCAGGUGCUCUCUCAAAAAAAAUUUGAAGUAUUUUAUUUCUCCAAACUUUAAAUUUGUUAUAGUUUCUUUCUCUAAAAUUUUUGAGACAAUUUCUCUCUCUAAAACAUGAAUUUUGAGAUAGUUUCUCUAUCUAAAAAUUUGAUAGUUUUUUUCUCUAAAAAUUUGAAAUUUAUGAUAGCUUCUCUCUAAAAAAACUUUGAGAUGGUUUAUCUCUCUAAAAACUUUGAGAUAAUUCCUCUCUCUAAAAAUUUUCAGGUAAUUUCUCUCUCUAAAAUAUGAAAUAGUUUCUCUCUAUGUAAAAUUUUAAAAUACUUUAUCUCUCUAAAACUUUUGAAAUAGUUUUCUCUAAACAUUUUUAGGUAGUUUCUCUUUUAAAACUUUGAAAUUUGAGAUAAUUUCCCUCUUAAUAAAUUAUGAGAUAAUUUCUUUAAAAAAUUUUUAGUAGUUUUUCUCUCUAAAACGUAUUUUAAGAAUACUUCCUCUUUUUAAAAAAUUUUAAGAUACUUUGUCUCUCUAAAACUUGAAAUUUGAUAUAGUCUCUCUCUAUAAAAAAUUUUAGAUAGUUUCUCUCAAAAAUGUAUCUGAUAGUUUCUCUUUCUAAAAUUUGACAGUUGCUCUCUCUAAAAUUUUAAGAUACUUUCUCUCUCUAGAAUUUAAAAUAUGGGGUAGUUUCUCUUUCUAAUUAGUGGAGAUAUUUGGCAGAAUUAAUUAUAUUUGGUAAAAUAGGUGACUCCAGUGUGUGAAAAUAAACCCACGAAAAUAUUUCCCCACCUCAAACAUACAUUUUCACAUGAAUUCGUCCAACUUGUAGUAAAAAUUUUAGCUAUACAAAAUUUUCAUAUGUAUUUGUAACAUACCAAAUGUGCAUAACAUAAUUUUCACAUAAAAAUAUUUUGCAUAAAAGAAUUUUCACAUAUAAUCUUAUUUCUUAUUUUUAUCCACUCAAUACUUAUAUAAAUAAAAGAAGCUAAAAAGCAGUGCAAAACUUGCAAUAACCAUCGAAAUUAUGCCAGUCCGUCAAUGGAGGCCAUCGCUAAAGUUUCAUAUAAUAUCACAUAAUAACUUAAGGGGUCCACCUAAACAAAUCAAAGUAAGACACAGCUUCAAAUUAUAUUAUUAAAUGCAAUUUAGAUUCUGGAAAUAGUUGAGGAUAGUUUAAAAAUAUAUUUUACUACCAAUUAUAAAAUUGUAAAGCUGCGAAAGUAGUAAAGAUGGAGUAGAUCUAUAAACAUUUAAAAAAUAUUGAAAAUAAACGGUCAAAAUAAUGUAUUAUAGGACACAGUAUUUUUAAAACUUUAAAAUAUUUUUUUUCUAUAACCUUACAUCUCAAAGCCGUGAUGAUCGACUUAAGGAUUUUUAUCGAUGUGUUUUUUGGAUGCGUCUUUCAUAAUAUAAGUUUGAUGCCUUACAUAAAUUCCGUAGUUGAAAAUUCUCGAAUAAAUUUUCUCCAUUAAAUGUUACCAUUUCCUUUGUAAUAAAAGUAAGCAGUUUUGAACCUCCUUCACCAUAACUAACUUAGGGUCCGUUUGAUAGCAUCAAAUAUCCUGAUAUUUUGGGAUAUUAUAGAAUCAAAUAUAUUUUGAAUAAAGGAAAUCCGUGAUGGAGCUAAAUAACAUAUUUUAAUAUUCAAAUAACCGUUAAAUAUCUGAAUCCUCAAUAAUUCAAUUUGUACUUGAAUUUUGCAGGAUGAUUUUUUUGUUUUUGGGUGGCUCUCCUCUCUUCCACUCAUCUCCCUCCCUGUCAAUGGAGACCCACACCCCUCCUCUCUCUCUUCUCACACUUUCUCUCAACUCGCUUUACAAUCUCUGCUGCCCAUUAGAUUUAGUCUCUCUUCCCAUGAGAAAGACGCGUAUUAGAGUUUGUGCCUGAAAUUUUCUUUUAUAUUCUUGUCUUUUUGCUUGGGGUUUUCAUCUCUAAGCUCUGCUUAAUCUAGAUUUUGGUUAUAUUUUUGGGGCUUCUUGGAUGCCCAUCAAGCCUGUGCUUAUGGAUGGAUUUUUUUCCCUCAUGGUAAUCGAAUUCUCUGCAAUUUUUGUAAUUGAUAAUGGAUUAACCAAUUGCCAUGGAGAGAGAGCAUUUAAACUUGCAGGUUGACAUGGAGAAAGACAAAUAAUUCGUGUCCCCAAUCCAACCCCAAAAGCAAUAGAAAGGGAUGGAUGCAACGAAGAAACCCAUUAAUAAGUAGGUCUACAGAGAGUGAGUGAGAUUUAAUUUUCUGAGAUGGCUUGCAAAUGAGAAGAGAGAUUGAUUUAAUUUUCUGAAUUUUCGAUGGCUUGUAUUUUAGAGAGAGAGAUUUAAUUUUUAGAAUUUGGCCCGUACAGUUACUCUUUCUUCAUUCAGUUUUUUUUUUUUGGCAAAAUUUUUAAACCAAAUUAUCCUGCUUGAUUUAUUUCUUCUUUUAUUUUCUUGUGCAAACUUUUUAAACGAAAUUCUCCUGCUUGAUUUUUAGUGUACUCUUUCUUCCUUCAAGUCUUUUUUUUUGCAAAAUUUUUAAAACAAAUUCUUCUGCUUGAUUUAUUUUUUUCUUUGUUUUUUUUUUGUGUAAACUUUUCAAACCAAAUUAUCCGGCUUGAUUUUUAGUGGUGUUCAUUUGUGAUUAUUUAAGAAUUUCACUCACUUUCAUUUGAUUUUGCUCAAUCAUGAAUGAUUAAUUACUUUAAACUUUAAAGCACAACCUUCUCUAUAACAGACAGGUUUAUCAGAAAUACAACAAACAGUAAAACGCACAUAUAAAUACAUAUAUAAAGAUGACAUUAAAUUCAGUUAUAUAGAAAGGAGGCAAUGCCUUUAUUCAAAUAGCUAAAAAUUUGAAUAUUCAAAUCUUGUUUUAUCAAACAUACUCUUAACGAUCCAAAUUUCCCCCCAAGCUAGUGUCUAAAAGAUUGUAGAGCCAGCUCUAAAUCGCCCAAGUCAACUAAAAAAUCGUCAUGCUAACUACAAAUGGCUCAUAUAAGCAGGUGACUAUCCAAUACCAGAAAAUUGGGGAUUGCUCAUGUUUCUCUCAAAUCACCUGGUUCAUUAUACGAUUCACUCUAAAAAAACCUGGCAACAUUUGCCAGAGAAUUGGGUAUCGCCCAAAUCUUGAUGAAUCCAACUAUUUUUAAAACUAAAAUUUUAGACCACUUGUAAAAGAAUUUCAAUUCACUUAUACAUUGAUUUCAAGUCCUUUAUCUCUCAUGAUUAAUAAAUACUGAUUCUAAUCUUUUUCAUAGAUCUACAAUAUCUAUGCUGUAAUGGGAAAGGGAUUGCAUACAAGUCCUUCCUACCAGCUUGCUCUAAUUUGAAGAAAGGAUUCUACACCAUCCUAGUUUUCAUCGGCACUUUGAAAAGUUUAUGCAUAUAAGAGAACAAAGAUUUAAAAUUCCAAAAUAUUGCAUUAUGUUACACAUCAUUUACAUCAUCCAUUUUCAAAACUUUUAAGUGGGUUUUUUUUUUCUUUGUGAGGAUUUUCAAAAUUUUUAAGUGUUUAUAGAUCUAUUCGAUCUAUAUUAUUUUUAAAAAUUUAAAUUUUAUAAUUAGGUGCAAGAAUAGAUUUUUAAACUAUCUUUGAGCAAGAUUUAGAGGUGUGCGUUGGUUUUAUUGUUUAAGGUUGAAACAUUAUGCACCCUAUUUGAACCUAAUCUCGGUUUUCAAGUGUACUUCAAGAAAAAAUAAAACAUUUUUGAGAAAUUUCUAGGUAUCUCGAUACUUUUUUUAAAUUUUUUAGUUUCAAAUGUAAAUUUUAUAUUUUGAUAUUAAUGGAAGUAUUUUAUGACAUUUCGUAUAUUUUAUAGGUACUUUGUGAAAUUUUAAAAUAUGUUCAGGUUAAUUAUCAAACUUUUUUCAAUUUAAGGAGGAGCGAUAAACUCCCAUUGGGUAGGGGAUGGGGUCGGUGGUAGCAACCCACACCUAGUCACUAUAGUGGGGUUGUCAUUCUUAUCAUUAACAUUACCCCACUAACACUUUAAAAAAUCUAACUCCUAAUCCAUUUACAAAAACGGGUGAGGCUUAUCUUCCCUCACUGAAUUACCCCAAAAAAAAAAUCCCAAUCGAAACUACCCUCACAUCAUUUCAAAGUGUGAAUGAAAACUAGGACGGCGUGGAAUUAGAACCCUCUCUUGAAAUUAGAGCAAGUUGGCAGGGAGGACUUGUACGAAAUUUCUCUCCAUUACAAGGAAGACCAAGCAUCCACCAUUAAAUUUUUUACAUGCCAGUACAACGUCCCUCUUCUUCGCUUUCAAUGUUAAGUGCAACGUGCCUCCCACCCUCCCUCUUUUUUUUUCUCUCUCUCUCUCAAUGAAAAUGUUGAAGUUUGAUCCAUGGUGCUGAACAAGAGCGUGUUGUCUAUUUUCAUGCGUGAGGUAGGUGAAGGUCAGGUCAUCCCGAUAAUGUUGGCGUUUGGAGGUGGGUCCUUGCUCGUGACGUUUUCGUUCAAAAUGGGAAAAGUUUAAAAAAAUGGAUUGCUGAUUCGAAUAAGUCACACUCGUACUUGUGUCGAAUUGGGAGAUACGGUGGAUCAGAUCGGAAGAAUCGGAGCAAUCGACAAUUUUUAUCUCAAAUUUUUUUUAAAAAAAAUAAUUCAAGAAAAAAAUGUUUUUUUUUUUUUGGCUUCACUCGGUGAAGAAUCUUCGGAAUCAGCGGCUCCGCAAAAAAUCGGUGACUCUACUAUUUUGAAUAACCUUAUCUAGGACGGUUAUGGCGAUUCUCGAUUUAGAUCGCCCAAUUCCAGAUCUGGUCAUCAAUUUUUAAACCAUUGGUAAAGACAAAAGUCUACAGAUGAAUUUGAGUGAAAUGAAAAGAUUGUUCUAAUCUCUAUCCAAGUUAGUGAAAGUUUUAAUGGAUGCCCCUCUUUUUAUAGGAUUUCCAAUCUUUCCAUCCUAUAGGGUUAGAGAACGGACACGCGAUACACACCAAGCCACUUGUGCAUCCUCUCUUCCUGUAUUUUUGCUUUGAAAAAAUAUUAUUAUUUUAAAAUAAUGUGCAUUUAAAAUUAUUUGUUAUUUGGGAAAUAUAUUUUAUCCCAUCUGUAGUGACAUAAGUAGUAGAUUUGUUGUUCCAAAUUAGAAAAUUAAAAAAUAAAAAAAUUAUUUUAAAAUCUGCGGGUAUCCUCUUUUAUUGAAUUCUAAAAACCAAAAAAAAGAAGGCUCUGCAAAAUUUGGAUACUCAUGCAAAAGAGUGCUAGAGGCAUUCACUCGUCACAUCCAGAGCAUGUAUCAUGCUAUUUGGCAGCGCCAAUCAGGGUAAUAUCGCACAUAAUAGUAUUCCCACUACUAUUUUUAAAAAGAAAAAUUGUUUCAUGCGGAUUCGACUGCAUUUUUACAUGUGCGGUUUUGAAAGUGUAAAGCAAUUAUGUUAAAGAUGGAUAAAAGUAGGUGUUCCAUCUAAAAACAAUACAAACUAAGGGUCAAAAUAUUUUCUUACUAGAGUUAUUAUUUUUAAAUUUUAAAUUUAUUUAUUUAUUUAUUCAUAUUCAUGAUCUCCAUGUUAGAGAUUAUAUGUUUUUAAAAAUUACGUCUUAAAAUCUAUAUAAAAAAUAGAUUUAUUAAGGGGGCUGCAUUUCUACAUAUGCGGGCUUGGCCGCAUAGAAACCAGAUCCUUUUAAAAAUCACUAAUCUUCAUAAAAAGUUAUCUUAAGACCAUCCAGUUACCGUUGUAUGUCAAAAAUUAUCUUAGACGAUUCAGUCCCAUACCAUAUCAGAAACCGACCGCAUAGUAUAGUACUGACCGAAUUCACCAUUCAUUUUUUAUAUUUUUUAGUUCGUAGUUUUUGAACAUUGUUUUUUGUUUAAAAAAGGGCAAACCAUGUGGUCCACACCACUUUCCCCUGCCGGGUCGCUCACCAACUCCGCCUAUUUUAAAACGUCACACCUAAUUCUAUUUAGGAUAUGGUUUGUAAUUGUAUAGAGCCGAGGCUCUAAUCAAUCAAAGUAAAGCGUACUUUCAAACAAAAAUUGUGAUUUCAAUACGAAAAAUCUUUGCGAUAGCUUUAAAAUAUAUUUUUAUCUUUAUUAUAAAAUUUAAAAUUUUGUAGAUCAAGCAUAUCUAUGAAAACUUGAAAAUUUUGAAAGUUAACCGCUAAUGCCAUACAAGAUUCAGUAUUUUCAAAAGUUGAAAUCCAUUUUUAUUCUUAUGUCCAUGCAUCAUAAUGUCGAGAUGAUCAAUUUUAGGAUAUCAAAACAACCACUUCUAGUCAAAUUUUGGGUGGGCUCUAAUUUGAAUGUUUCUAGCCUCAGCUCUAUAUAAACUUCUUUUUUCUUUUAUUUAUAGGCCCCCCUUGCAUUUCACACACUAGCGAUGUGAGACCAAACGUGCCCUUCUGUUUUUUUUCUAAACGUCUCAAGUUUUGCCAUAGGCGUCAAGCUUUCAAGGCCUCGUUCUUCAUGCGUUUUUUUUUUUUUUUUUCUUUCUUUGUUAACAUCGCAUUCUUCUUCUUUUUUCAUGAAAAUGAAAGCCACCAAACACAAUUCAAAAUAUCAUUCUAGUAACUUAAUAGAAAGAUGUAAAAUAUGAAAUAAAUUGCAUCUUUACCAUGCAUGAGAUGUUAAAAACAGCACAAACCAAUAUAGGUUAACACAUUCUUUUCAAAAAGUUUGAAAAUCCCAAAAAUAUAAUUAAGAGAUUAAUUGUUUCUAAAAAUCCCAAAAAAAAAUUUGAUUUUUUUCCUAAAAAUCUUAAAAGAUAAUUGUUCAACAUGCUUUGAAAAGGUACCUGAUAAUUAUGAAAAUUAAAAAGAAAUAUCGUUAAUGAAAUGGAAAACACAAACUAAGGUAAGUUUAAAAGUGUGAAAAAUAAACACAAUGGGCAUGGCUCAUCAAUGUUCAACCGAAUAGGAGAAAGCAUUACAAAGAAAAAAUAAAAAAAGAAAAAUUUAAUAAAAAAACAAGGGGAUUCACUAGGAACUAUUUAUACACUACAUUGUUUUGUUUUUAUUAAAUAAGGUAUUUCUUUCAUAAAAAGGCCAACAAUUGUUGGUAGUGAAAGUAGUGUACAAAAACACUCAGACAUUAGAUAGGUUUCUUGUAUUUACAUAUUUUUGCUAAAAUAAUAAAAAUCAUAAUGCAAUUCACUAUUUGUUUUUUUUGAAAAAUAAAAAACUAGAUUAUUGAGAAAUUUUAGUAUUUUUUGAAAAAUUUUAGUGCCGAAACCUAUUGACCCGGCCGAUUCUUCGAUCAGAAAUACCGAUCUACCGAUUCGACCCAUUGACUCGAGGGUCGACCCAACUAGGUCCAAGUCUAGACCUAGACACUAGUUCCGACUGGUUGGUUCUGGGUGCCAAUAAGUGUAUUAUUGCACACAAUAGUGUUGCUGCUGAUGAGACGAAUUGGAAUUAUCUAAAAUGCCCCUCAGGGCGCAAGGGUGAUUGAGGCUUGCAGUUUCCACAUAGGUGGAAAUUGGUCGGUUUGACCCACUGACCCAAGAUCGACCCGAAUAGGUCCGAGUCUGGACCUAGACACUAGGCCUGACUGGUUGGUUAUGGGCAAACUUGACCUUGACCUGACCAAGGUCAGGUUUGACUUAACUUUACAUGGGUUAGGUUUGGGUCCACCUUGGAUUUUAUCCGGUCAGGUUUAGGUUGGGGUGAACCCGACCAGACCCUACAUGAUAAUUUAAAAUCAUAGGAAUAGUAUUUUAAUUAUAUAAUCUAAAAUAUAGAAAAUAACUUUCCUUUUUACAGACCCAGUUUCCAAGUGACUUGGACCUGGCCGUGGGUUCGAGUCAGGUCCAAGUCUACCUUAGACUAAGUCUGGUCAGAAGCCUUAAUUUUUAUAUAAUGAGUUCCUCCUCCUUUACAUUGAGAUAUCAGGUGUAUAUAUAAAAGUGGGGCCCAAACAGGGGUGGAUACUCAAAAUUCACCUUAAUUGUUGAAAAUUACAAUUUAAUUGAAUUAAAAGAAAUCUAAAAAUGGGACAAUUUUGCCUUUCCCCAACAAUUCAUAUAAUUCCAAUUCAGUUCCUAUUUCUGCCUUAGAAUAUGUGCAAUCUUCUAAGGCUGAUUCGAGGUUGCUCCGGCGCUCGUUCGGCCAAACGAUGAUUGUUUUCUUGUUGGACUCGAAAUGACGAUCGUUUUGAUAUCCAUUUUGAAUCACUGCUCGCGUUUUUGGGCCACGAUCAUGAGAUGCAAAAUUUUUUAGGAACUUCCAAUCUUUUGAUCAAGAUUGCACCCAUUUCUCGACAUGUCUUCACGAUUUCUUCGCUGAAUUACGACGAGCACGCCGUUACGAUCGUUUGGCAACAAGCGCAGUUUGAUUUCGUGCCUAAACGAUGAUUUUUUACUUUUGGGUUUUUGGCUGAAAUCUAAAUUCAGGUGGCUAGAAUUUGUAGCAACUUCUUUGUCCUUGCGCGUUAAAUCCAACCGUUCAUCCCAUACGAGGUUCGGCCCAGAUGUAGCCUCAGACGUCGAGCACGUAAUGGAAUUAGUUUCAUGUCGAUGUCGUGUGAUCGUCGUGAUAUGGCCGCUCGAUCAAGGUGUGUCAUUGCUGAUUUUCCUGCAACUUUUACUACAAAUCAUCAACUUCUCUCUAGCUUUUCUCCUUGCUCGGGAGACGUCGCAGUCGUGCCACAUAUCAAAACACUCAGCAUGACGAGAUAAAUAUGCUCCAAAAAUUUGGGCUCGAUCGGACUCAAGACGAGGAGAUACGACUUUCCAAAGUUCGACCCAAAACUGUAAAAACCAGUCUUCAUUAAUGGCAAUUGGUGCAGGGAGGGCGCACGGGAAUAGUGUGCAGCCUACCCCUUUUUAAUAUUUCGGUCAUAACUUUGUCCUGGAGCGUCUGAUUA